GGAUGGUAAUGUUCAUAAUUCGCCCAGAGAAGGAGAUGUGAGCCAUAUGCAAUGACAGUCUGGGCGCUGGCAAAUCUGGAAUUUUAUUAUUCGCAAAAGGCCAGAUGGAAAUUAUGCACUCGGUAACUGAAAAGCCAAAUGAAGCAUAUGCAGGCACAAUACUCAAACUGGUUGAAUAUUAUCAGGAUCACAACAUAGUGUUGCCAAACAACAAUGAUACUGUAAAAAUUACCAGACCGCCACCAACCUAAAUGAAAUUGAAAGUUAACAAUUUUGCUCAUGUGUAUGAAAUUUGAAAGUAUUGGUCAAGCCAUAACCCAUGUUUGCAAUGCAAAUGAAACUCUAAUGAAACUAUAAUUUUUCGUGUGGAAUGUUAAAGCAAGAAGCGCAAGGCAAACUUAAGGAAGACAAUGUAUUAUCAAACGAUUCAGCGAAUGAUAAUAUCGUAAUAACUGCAACUUUUGUUAUUAUUUCAUUACUCUUUUUAAUUGAGUCAUUUUUCUUCAUGUGUUUUCAAGAUUCGAGAAAAAAACUUAUAAUAUAUAUUCUUUCUUUUCAAACUUUGUGAAUCUUAUUGUACUCAUCCUGAAUAAUUUUGGAACUUUAAUUACAAUUUUAAAUAAUUUUAUUUCUGAUUUUUGUUCAGAAUUGUUGUAAUUUGGAUCAAAGUAUCUAUCUCAUGCACAAUCAGAGUUGUAUUGAGGAUGAUUGCUUAAAUGCCUUCCAAAGUUCAAGACUAGUCUAAAGUUAUGGUAUAUCAAAUGUCAAUUUUUAGGAAUAGACCAUAUAAAAUGAAACCAUAAAAAUAAAACUGUGGUAUCUAUUCAUCUGUUGUGAUCUGAGGCCAAAUAUACCAGGGCUACUAAACUGGCGGACCGCGGUCCGAAUUUGGACCUUCCAAGUAUUAAAUUUGGACCGUAGCUGCUUCUUGAUUUUGAAAGAAUCAAUUUUCCAUUCUUUUACAGCUCUGAUGUAAUGCAUUUUUGCUAAACCAAUGAAAAAUAAUUAUGACAUCAUAGCAAUAUACUUAUGUCUCUCCGACCAUCGACUGACUUGUUUACUUACCUCUCUAGUAUUUCAGCAAGAUUUUAAUGGUGUCAUGAAAACUGAAGUUUUUAGCAGCCACUCUUGUUAAACGACGCAUUUGAAGUUGAAUUUGCAUAGUUAGAAUAUAAUUUUUAUAAUGACCGGAUCCCUUUAAUUUAUAAGUUUUGUGUACGGACCUUUGGUGAGUAGCUCUGAUAUAUACAUUUUCAACUCCAUGUAUUUCAUUUCCUCGAAAAACUCUCAGCAACUUAUGUUGCUUUCAAGUUCUAUAUCUAUAAGUUUUAUUUAUGCAUCUUAUUUGCCUUAAAAUUUAUGAAUUGAAGCAUAUUUUAUCACUGUUUUUGAAUGUAUUCAGUUAAUAAUUUAUGCAAUACCAUAAGACUCAUGUGAAAAAUUUACUAUAUUUUCCAAGGCAGUUAUUUUCAUCCGUAAGUGCCCUUUUAAUGUUUUUAGAUAAAUUGUUUUUAGAAUUAGUAAUUGAUAAAUCAUGAGGUUUUUUGUUACUCAUUGAAAGGAAAGUAUUGUUUCAUUUAUUAUGCUGUGGGUUUUGAGGGGUUGAGCAAAAAUAUCAUGCUCCACAUGAAUCCCUCUACAUAUGUAUCCAACUCCAUAUGCUUACUUUAACCAUUUUUCCUACAAUAUAUAUCUAUGCUAACUUAAAAGUAGGAAAAUUGUUGCAAAGUGGGAUAUAACAUUUUUGAAAUCCACCAAUUCCUUUACCAUCACAAAUAUUGUCUUUUGAGUCAAUUGCAGAAUUUAUAUUUAGUUUGCUCUAAUAUAUACUAAAUAACAGUUAUACUCAAUUGAUAAACUUGUGUGAAACAGUAAAUUAAAUAGGUUUCAAGCAGUGUAGUUAUCUUUUUUGCAAGUGAACUGAUCCGGUAAAAAUCAUCCCACUCAUGGUUUGUCCUGCUUUUAUUAUUUUUAAUAUGUACAGAGUGAUACAACUGAUCAUUUAUGAAUAAAAAUGUUUUUAUUGUCUAAUCAUUCCAAUUAUUGACUUUUUAUUUAAUGCUUGCAGUAUACCGGUUGUACCCCCAUUGUUUGAAAUGUUCCAUCCCUUAACAAAGCGGUUUACAUUUAACUAUGCCAUUAUCGUUGUUAUUUGAGACAGAAAUUGUGUCAAAAUCAAAAACUUCUCGUAAAUAACUUUAGUUCACGUAUAUGUAUUGUGUUCAAAAUGACAGUUUUUCUGUGAUAAAUGAGCUGACGAUAUUAGAGUUUGAAAAUAAUCUCUGAAAUAUCUUAUUAUUAUCUUGUUUGAGUUCUCUCAAAUAUGAGCUAGUACUCAAAACUUAUAAACUGAAAUAUUUUUUACUUCGUAUUUGAAAUGUUCUUGUAUGUGUGAUCUCGAAUUUACUGUUUGCAUAUCUAUUGUGUCUCUCCAACAUGCCCCC